GACGAACGCUGGCGGCGUGCCUAAUACAUGCAAGUCGAGCGCAGGAAAUCAUCCGAACCCUUCGGGGGGACGUUGAUGGAAUGAGCGGCGGACGGGUGAGUAGCACGUAAAGAACCUGCCCUCAGGUCUGGGAUAACCACGAGAAAUCGGGGCUAAUACCGGAUGGGUCAUCGGACCGCAUGGUCCGAGGAUGAAAGGCGCGUCGGCGUCGCCUGGGGAUGGCGUGGCGGUGCAUUAGCUAGUUGGUGGGGUAAUGGCCCACCAAGGCGACGAUGCAUAGCCGACCUGAGAGGGUGAGCGGCCACACUGGGACUGAGACACGGCCCAGACUCCUACGGGAGGCAGCAGUAGGGAAUCUUCCACAAUGGACGAAAGUCUGAUGGAGCAACGCCGCGUGAACGAUGAAGGCCUUCGGGUCGUAAAGUUCUGUUGUAAGGGAAGAACAAGUGCCGCAGGCAAUGGCGGCACCUUGACGGUACCUUGCGAGAAAGCCACGGCUAACUACGUGCCAGCAGCCGCCGUAA
rnacentral:rRNA from 1 species